rnacentral:lncRNA from 1 species
ACACAAAAAAUCCUAUAAAAACAACUUUGGUAUUUUAAUCCGUUUAAUAAUUUCAGUUUGAAGUUUUUGCAGAAAGUAUACCUUUCUAUGGAUUGGUUCUCUAAGUGUGCACUUACAGAAACUAAAGUUUAUAAUUUAAGACUUAUCUGCGACCUCCAACCCUAGCAGCAUCACACCACACAUAUCUGAACUGUUUCUGCCUCCUCUUUCGUCCCAUAAGACCAUCCCCCUCCAACACCGUUUUGAAAGCGAAAGUCUCCUAGUGCAUAGCUUGGUUGAACUUCGCUUGGUGGUGCACUAAUUGGCCUAACGGUCAACUCACAUCCUCCAUCCAUCCGGUGAUGACUUUGAUCCCUGUCUUGGCCAUGGUUCUCUUGAUGAGGUAGUCAAUUUCUGGUGGCCAAGUGAAACCACAAUUUCCUUCUGGUAAGUCUUUGUCGUUCUUCCCCGGUGUGAAAUUAAUCUCAUCACCACAUGUUGGAAAUCAAUUGUCUUUGUGAUUUUAU